rnacentral:rRNA from 1 species
CAGCAGCCGCGGGAAUACGAAGGGGGCUAGCGUUGUUCGGAAUCACUGGGCGUAAAGCGCACGUAGGCGGACACUUAAGUCAGAGGUGAAAUCCCAAGGCUCAACCUUGGAACUGCCUUUGAUACUGGAAGUCUUGAGUUCGGGAGAGGUGAGUGGAACUGCGAGUGUAGAGGUGAAAUUCGUAGAUAUUCGCAAGAACACCAGUGGCGAAGGCGGCUCACUGGCCCGAUACUGACGCUGAGGUGCGAAAGCGUGGGGAGCAAACAGGAUUAGAGACCCCUGUAGUCCCUGUCUCUUAUAC